rnacentral:rRNA from 1 species
AGAGUUUGAUCCUGGCUCAGAGCGAACGCUGGCGGCAGGCUUAACACAUGCAAGUCGAGCGGGCGUAGCAAUACGUCAGCGGCAGACGGGUGAGUAACGCGUGGGAACGUACCUUUUGGUUCGGAACAACACAGGGAAACUUGUGCUAAUACCGGAUAAGCCCUUACGGGGAAAGAUUUAUCGCCGAAAGAUCGGCCCGCGUCUGAUUAGCUAGUUGGUGAGGUAAUGGCUCACCAAGGCGACGAUCAGUAGCUGGUCUGAGAGGAUGAUCAGCCACAUUGGGACUGAGACACGGCCCAAACUCCUACGGGAGGCAGCAGUGGGGAAUAUUGGACAAUGGGCGCAAGCCUGAUCCAGCCAUGCCGCGUGAGUGAUGAAGGCCCUAGGGUUGUAAAGCUCUUUUGUGCGGGAAGAUAAUGACGGUACCGCAAGAAUAAGCCCCGGCUAACUUCGUGCCAGCAGCCGCGGUAAUACGAAGGGGGCUAGCGUUGCUCGGAAUCACUGGGCGUAAAGGGUGCGUAGGCGGGUCUUUAAGUCAGGGGUGAAAUCCUGGAGCUCAACUCCAGGACUGCCUUUGAUACUGAGGAUCUUGAGUUCGGGAGAGGUGAGUGGAACUGCGAGUGUAGAGGUGAAAUUCGUAGAUAUUCGCAAGAACACCAGUGGCGAAGGCGGCUCACUGGCCCGAUACUGACGCUGAGGCACGAAAGCGUGGGGAGCAAACAGGAUUAGAUACCCUGGUAGUCC